rnacentral:rRNA from 1 species
GGGUUGUGAGGUUAAGCGACUAAGCGUACACGGUGGAUGCCCUGGCAGUCAGAGGCGAUGAAGGACGUGCUAAUCUGCGAAAAGCGUCGGUAAGGUGAUAUGAACCGUUAUAACCGGCGAUGUCCGAAUGGGGAAACCCAGUGUGAUUCGUCACACUAUCGUUAACUGAAUACAUAGGUUAACGAGGCGAACCGGGGGAACUGAAACAUCUAAGUACCCCGAGGAAAAGAAAUCAACCGAGAUUCCCCCAGUAGCGGCGAGCGAACGGGGAGCAGCCCAGAGUCUGAAUCAGCUUGUGUGUUAGUGGAACGGUCUGGAAAGUCCGACGGUACAGGGUGAUAGUCCCGUACACCAAAAUGCACAGGCUGUGAACUCGAAGAGUAGGGCGGGACACGUGGUAUCCUGUCUGAAUAUGGGGGGACCAUCCUCCAAGGCUAAAUACUCCUGACUGACCGAUAGUGAACCAGUACCGUGAGGGAAAGGCGAAAAGAACCCCGGCGAGGGGAGUGAAAAAGAACCUGAAACCGUGUACGUACAAGCAGUGGGAGCACCUUCGGGUGUGACUGCGUACCUUUUGUAUAAUGGGUCAGCGACUUAUAUUCUGUAGCAAGGUUAACCGUAUAGGGGAGCCGCAGGGAAACCGAGUCUUAACUGGGCGUUAAGUUGCAGGGUAUAGACCCGAAACCCGGUGAUCUAGCCAUGGGCAGGUUGAAGGUUGGGUAACACUAACUGGAGGACCGAACCGACUAAUGUUGAAAAAUUAGCGGAUGACUUGUGGCUGGGGGUGAAAGGCCAAUCAAACCGGGAGAUAGCUGGUUCUCCCCGAAAGCUAUUUAGGUAGCGCCUCGUGAACUCAUCUUCGGGGGUAGAGCACUGUUUCGGCUAGGGGGUCAUCCCGACUUACCAACCCGAUGCAAACUACGAAUACCGAAGAAUGUUAUCACGGGAGACACACGGCGGGUGCUAACGUCCGUCGUGAAGAGGGAAACAACCCAGACCGCCAGCUAAGGUCCCAAAGUCAUGGUUAAGUGGGAAACGAUGUGGGAAGGCACAGACAGCCAGGAUGUUGGCUUAGAAGCAGCCAUCAUUUAAAGAAAGCGUAAUAGCUCACUGGUCGAGUCGGCCUGCGCGGAAGAUGUAACGGGGCUAAACCAUGCACCGAAGCUGCGGCAGCGACACUAUGUGUUGUUGGGUAGGGGAGCGUUCUGUAAGCCUGCGAAGGUGACCUGUGAGGGUUGCUGGAGGUAUCAGAAGUGCGAAUGCUGACAUAAGUAACGAUAAAGCGGGUGAAAAGCCCGCUCGCCGGAAGACCAAGGGUUCCUGUCCAACGUUAAUCGGGGCAGGGUGAGUCGACCCCUAAGGCGAGGCCGAAAGGCGUAGUCGAUGGGAAACAGGUUAAUAUUCCUGUACUUGGUGUUACUGCGAAGGGGGGACGGAGAAGGCUAUGUUAGCCGGGCGACGGUUGUCCCGGUUUAAGCAUGUAGGCUGGUUAUCCAGGCAAAUCCGGAUAAUCAAGGCUGAGGUGUGAUGACGAGGCACUACGGUGCUGAAGUAACAAAUGCCCUGCUUCCAGGAAAAGCCUCUAAGCAUCAGGUAACAUCAAAUCGUACCCCAAACCGACACAGGUGGUCAGGUAGAGAAUACCAAGGCGCUUGAGAGAACUCGGGUGAAGGAACUAGGCAAAAUGGUGCCGUAACUUCGGGAGAAGGCACGCUGGUGUGUAGGUGAAGCCCCUGCGGGUGGAGCUGAGACCAGUCGAAGAUACCAGCUGGCUGCAACUGUUUAUUAAAAACACAGCACUGUGCAAACACGAAAGUGGACGUAUACGGUGUGACGCCUGCCCGGUGCCGGAAGGUUAAUUGAUGGGGUUAUCCGUAAGGAGAAGCUCUUGAUCGAAGCCCCGGUAAACGGCGGCCGUAACUAUAACGGUCCUAAGGUAGCGAAAUUCCUUGUCGGGUAAGUUCCGACCUGCACGAAUGGCGUAAUGAUGGCCAGGCUGUCUCCACCCGAGACUCAGUGAAAUUGAACUCGCUGUGAAGAUGCAGUGUACCCGCGGCAAGACGGAAAGACCCCGUGAACCUUUACUAUAGCUUGACACUGAACAUUGAGCCUUGAUGUGUAGGAUAGGUGGGAGGCUUUGAAGCGUGGACGCCAGUCUGCGUGGAGCCAACCUUGAAAUACCACCCUUUAAUGUUUGAUGUUCUAACGUUGGCCCCUUACCGGGGUUGCGGACAGUGUCUGGUGGGUAGUUUGACUGGGGCGGUCUCCUCCCAAAGCGUAACGGAGGAGCACGAAGGUUAGCUAAUCCUGGUCGGACAUCAGGAGGUUAGUGCAAUGGCAUAAGCUAGCUUGACUGCGAGCGUGACGGCGCGAGCAGGUGCGAAAGCAGGUCAUAGUGAUCCGGUGGUUCUGAAUGGAAGGGCCAUCGCUCAACGGAUAAAAGGUACUCCGGGGAUAACAGGCUGAUACCGCCCAAGAGUUCAUAUCGACGGCGGUGUUUGGCACCUCGAUGUCGGCUCAUCACAUCCUGGGGCUGAAGUAGGUCCCAAGGGUAUGGCUGUUCGCCAUUUAAAGUGGUACGCGAGCUGGGUUUAGAACGUCGUGAGACAGUUCGGUCCCUAUCUGCCGUGGGCGCUGGAGAAUUGAGGGGGCUGCUCCUAGUACGAGAGGACCGGAGUGGACGCAUCACUGGUGUUCGGGUUGUCAUGCCAAUGGCACUGCCCGGUAGCUAAAUGCGGAAGAGAUAAGUGCUGAAAGCAUCUAAGCACGAAACUUGCCCCGAGAUGAGUUCUCCCUGAGACUUUAAGUCUCCUGAAGGAACGUUGAAGACGACGACGUUGAUAGGCCGGGUGUGUAAGCGCAGCGAUGCGUUGAGCUAACCGGUACUAAUGAACCGUGAGGCUUAACCUUACAACGCCGAAG